CGCACCUACCGAUUGAAUGUUUCGGUGAAGAUUCCGGACUGUGGCUCGCGUGCUUCACGGCGCUCCUGCCGUGGGAAGUUAUCUAAACCUCAACAUUUAGAGGAAGGUGAAGUCGUAACAAGGUUUCCGUAGGUGAACCUGCGGAAGGAUCAUUA
rnacentral:rRNA from 1 species